ensembl:lncRNA novel transcript
AGUGUGACUGUGAGCUAAGAUGUAGCAUUCAAGUGGAGGAAUGUGCUGGUGAGAGAAAGACAAGUUUGGUUUGGGACAAAUGAGUGUGAGGGCCCCAGCCUCUUGGCUGGCCAGUGAACACUUCCAAGAACCUUCAUACUUAAUACCUCUAUCACUCCUCCACUCAACAGGUGAGGAAACAUCAGUCCAGUGAGAGUGGCAUGUGUGGGGAGGAGCCCAGGCUUGCUCUGACCUCUCUCUGGGGCCCCCCACUCCAGAAGGUUGGAACAGCAUUCUACAGCAUUCCAGGAUGUGGAGGGGGCAGCAGUGUUUGUGUGCAGAGUGGCGAGGCCGACCUCCGAUGAGCUUCCCGUAGGAAGGGUGCAGUGGGGGGUGCUCACCCUGCCCAGGGAUGCUAUCUGCUCCAGGACUUGUUUAUCAGCCCACGGGGUGAUCGGCAUGACAUCAAUGGUGAGGUUUUUUGGGUUUCGUGGUUUUGUUUUUUUCUUUUUCCUUCUAAGGAACAAUUCGUUUUGGUCAAAUAACUAGAGCAAAAGUGACUGGUGUUUAGACACCUCUUUCCCCAGCCUCUGGCAGUGCCAUUGGAGGAACCGUCCCCUGAGGGUCAUAGAGGAAGCUGUCUGGCAGCUCAGAGGGUUGCCUCUUGUCCCUGCCCAGCCCCACCGGCUUCCCCUGGCUGCCUCCCUCACAUGCCAGGCUUGGGCAGCUUCCCAUCACAGACCGAGGUCCAGCCAGAGAGGCCUGUGCUCAGCCCCUCCCUGGGGCCUCUCAGUCUCCCCUCUCUGCUGUCCCGCUCAAAUGGUGGGGAGGGGGUAGAGUAGGACAAUUCAGAGAGAGGAACUAAUCCCCUCCCUCAUCCCACUGGGAUGCAGAGGAGGAGGCCAGGCUGAAAGGGAACCACACACAUCUCCAGUCACUUCUGUCAUUGCUAUACUGACCCUACAGCACUUCCCAUGUGCCACUGGGCCUGCAGGUCGGUAUUGGCAAGGGUGAAGGUGAGGGGACGCAAAAGGGAAUGCUAGGCUGUGGCGGGGAAGGGCUGGCCUGGGCUCCCAGGAGGUGAGGGGCUGAGUCCCAGGUCAUGGUGGCCGGACACAGAGGCGGGUAGAAGGCCAGCAGGGCUGCCCCAUCUGAGCCUGGGAGAGCCUGGGAACCCAAAGGCCCAUCACAGAGGCUCGGAGGCAGCUGUGUCCACGCGAGACAGAACUUAGGCUGGACUUGGGGGUACAACCCCAGGAUAAACUUGGACACAUUGAAGGGCAAGCAGCUUGGCCUCUGUCCAACAGGAAACCCCCUCUGCACAAGGAGAGAGGGAAUGAGCACAGAGUAGAGGUGCCAUGUGUUUCCCAGGGCUUCACUGCAGACAGCAUCUCCUGGGAGGUAAACUGAGGCCCCUGUGUGCAAAGCAAGAAACUAGGGCAAGCCCCUUGGGGCUAAAGGUCAAGGAACUGAAGGUUCCAAUUUACCUGCCCUGGUAGUUUCUGGCAAGAGACCUCCACCGCCUUCCCUUCCAGGAUAUGCCAGGCUGCAGGCUACAGUGCCGAGAAGGAGAAGACGGAGGCGGUGGUGAUGUCACCCAAGGAAUUAAGUAAGCAGGGGAGCUGAUAACAUCGUCCAGCCAGGCUCACUGUGGGCAGGGUGACUCACUGAAGACGGCCUGCGAUCGCCAGGUGAUUGUUGUUGUGCCCAGCCUGUGGGGCUGGGGAGGAGGAAGGGGGGCAGGCCACAGAGCUGUGACAAGUUCCUCACCGAGGCCCCUGCUCAGGGGAGAGACCUCAGUACACAGUGUCCUCCACCUCUGAGCCCGGGGCUGGCUCAGGAAACAGCCCCCCUCUGCCUGUGCGAUUAUCUUUGUCCACAGUGUUUGGUGUGUGUUUGUGGGGUGUGUCAGGUGAUUUUCCUGCCCGAAGCCUGCUGGGUGCUCCAGGUACUAGCGAUUGCUCACAGCAGAGCAGUAGCCCCCUCCCUGGUUGGACAACUGUCUGUGGAGACAACACCGGAUGGCAAACUGCUAACCGCAACCACGUGGCGUCCUUACAGAGGGAACAGCCUGUUCCUCCCGCUGAGGGCACCUGCAGACCUGCCCCAUUCAUGGCUCCCUUCUCCCUCAGUCCCUGCUGAGGGGAUGGUCCCUUCCCACCCUUAAGGGCACCAUGGACUGUUGUCCAAGUUGAGAACUGUCCAACUGCAGGGGGCACCAUUCACUUGGCAGUCUUCGUGCCAGAUGCUAUGGCUGUCCACAGUGGCCCUGCCCCUUCCCUUUUGUAAAUUACUUCUCAGUUCCCUCCUCCACCAGAAUUAUCACACCAAACUUUCCCCCAUGUAUGCUUGCUUCUUUAUCACCUGACACUCUCAUUCAUUCAUUCCACAAAAAAAUUGUGGCGUUUGUGCAAGGUACUAUUCUAGGCAAGGGAACAAGACAGACCCUCCUGGAGCUCAUGGAGUUCAUAUUCUAGCAUG